rnacentral:misc_RNA from 1 species
GCGUCCAAGGCCGGAAGCGG